AGGACGAACGCUGGCGGCGUGCUUAACACAUGCAAGUCGAACGGACUGCUUUCGGGUGGUUAGUGGCGAACGGGUGAGUAACACGUGGGUAACCUGCCCUUGACUCUGGGAUAACUCCGGGAAACCGGGGCUAAUACCGGAUAUGAUUCUGCAUCGCAUGGUGUGGGGUGGAAAGUUUUUCGGUCAAGGAUGGGCCCGCGGCCUAUCAGCUUGUUGGUGGGGUGAUGGCCUACCAAGGCGUCGACGGGUAGCCGGCCUGAGAGGGCGACCGGCCACACUGGGACUGAGACACGGCCCAGACUCCUGCGGGAGGCAGCAGUGGGAAUAUUGCGCAAUGGGCGGAAGCCUGACGCAGCGACGCCGCGUGGGUGAUGAAGGCCUUCGGGUUGUAAAGCCUGUGGGAGAGACGAAUAAGUCGGAACUAAUAUUUCCGAUGAUGACGGUAUCUCCUUAGCAAGCACCGGCUAACUCUGCGCCAGCAGCCGCGGU
rnacentral:rRNA from 1 species